AUCAAUGAUACUGGAAAUAUUGUCUCUCUUUCAUGUGUUAGUCGCAUUAUCAGCUGGAGGGCGGCUGUCCCUAAAACAACAACAGCAGCAAUGCACUCUGCAGACAUUUAACCAAUGUUUAGCUUCCCUACAAAGCGUGACCCAGGCAAAUGACCUGAACUUUAUCACCUCUAAAGUCAAGCUAGAUGUCGCUUGUCGAAGAGAAGGAUGGGAAAAAAAUCCCGACAGGCUAAAACCAUAAAGAUCAAAACUGGGUGGCCAACGGAAAGUUUCGAA